ACUCCGGUGUUUAGUUAAAGGUGCAGUGCGGCUGCUCUCGCACAGUCAGCGCUGCUGCCCACGAGCUAUCCACGCAGACAUCGCCACACCUUAGUUUCGACAUCACUGAUCUUUUAGCUUACUAAUGCUUGACUCAUGCUCACAUAAUUGACUGGAGAGGCCUAUCUGCUGCAAUAUGUGCAGUCCGUUUAUUGCUUAAUCCCCAAACACAAUGUGGGCCUUUGGGUUUCUUCAUGUCUCUUAAACUUUGGGUCCAUCACAUUCAUUUCAAAAUGUUAUAGGGAACCUCAAGAGUUACGAUGUGUACAUAUCAGCAAACCGGAAUGGAAGUGACUCACUUUAUCCUGUGAAGCAUGACCCCAAAUAUUACAAAAUAUUAUAGCGUUGUUGUCAUACAGUUCCCCACACUGCUUAUUUUGUUUUCUUGUUGCAACCUAUUAGGUUACCAGAUUAAUCUCAAUGUCUUUGUUCAUGCCAUUGAGACUGUUUUCUGUCCUUAAAUCAAUAUCUGAUCCUCGUGCUGACCGACCAGGAAGGAACGUUGUUUUUUCUCCUGGUUGUUUCUCAAACUAUUCUGAAUCUGGAAGUUAUCCCUGAAUCAUGAAUUGUGGUGUGAUCUUUAAUCCAUGUGGAAACCACAUAGGCCUACAUUUGUAAUACAAUGCAUAAUUUAAGUCAUCUCAUUUCUCAGUAUAUGUGUGCUGGGUGUGUAUAAACCCAUCAUUACAUCCUAGUGAAACUACCACUGUUUCCAAUCAAUGCCCGUCAGUGCAGCACAGUGAUGAUUAAACCACAGUCAUGACCUCAUCACCUCGAGGGAUGGCUGGGAAAACUCUGCCGGAUCAAUAGCAUUUUAAUUCAUCCACAAAUCACCAACAGCAAUACAACGCACACUUUUGCAGUGCGGUUAGACCCGUGAAUGGGGAAGUACAUGUCUGAGUCGGUGCCUCACUGUGGUUGUUGGAGCUCAAACAACACGUCAUAAUGUCCAUAUGGAGACGCUUGAGAUUUCCAUAAACCAACACACAGAUGUAAGACACAUGUGGAUUAGCCCGUCAUGUGUGCUUUCCAAGUGCUCUGCAGCCAGACCCCUCCCCAAAUCCUGUUAACAAACAACAAGUCAAAGCCUGAAGACAAGCAGCACUCUGCCCCAUGGGGAGUGAGGGGAGUGUGACACACAGCCUCGUGAUGUGGAUUGUCACAUCUGUGAGAGUGAUCACCCUGAAUCUCAGCAAGGUGUCAGGUGAAACACAAACUUAGACUUUCAGACUAAGAAGCACAUUUCAAUAGCAGGCCCAGGCUGAUGUGGACUGCAGUGAGACUGAACCAGACUUCAAACUUGCUGCAAACUUUUCCUUGUUACAGCUCCUUAUCACCUCUACCAAGGGGCCCGGACUCCUUGCCCCUGACCUAAUACCACUUCCAUCUCAUAUCAUGCCCAGCAUGCUCUAUGAAAUAGCCUGAGGACUGCCUCUGUGUAAUCUACUUAGUAAGAGGUGAUGGUCUACAACACAUUAAGAUGUGCAGCAACAGGUCUUUAAUCCUCACUCUUUGUUCUGUGAGAGUGACAGUAGACUACUUAAAAUGUCUGAGACCUCAGAGCUAAUUAAUGACAGAGACAAGUCCCACCACCUCCUGGCCUUGAAUACUUGCUCUAUUUUCAUAGUUUGUAUUUCCACUCAUCCUCUGUGGCAAUAUGUGUGUUUUUAAAUGUGAAUGAUUCAGAUGGUGGGAGAUGCCCAUUCACCAUUCCAGCAGCAUCAUAGCACGGUGUGAAUAAAAUGCUUUCCAAAGCCAUUUUGUGAUUAGACUGCGCUUUAAAAGUCACAAUUAUGGGCAGGAAGUGCAUGGCGGCUGUAGAUCUGACAUUAGGGUUUUAAAGUGUUACUCAUU